rnacentral:rRNA from 1 species
UACGUAGGGUGCGAGCGUUAAUCGGAAUUACUGGGCGUAAAGCGUGCGCAGGCGGUUCGUUGUGUCGGCGGUGAAAGCCCCGGGCUUAACCUGGGAAUGGCCGUUGAAACUGGCGAACUGGAGUGUGGCAGAGGGGGGUGGAAUUCCGCGUGUAGCAGUGAAAUGCGUAGAGAUGCGGAGGAACACCGAUGGCGAAGGCAGCCCCCUGGGCUGACACUGGCGCUCAGGCACGAAAGCGUGGGGAGCAAACAGG